GGAGAUAAGCAAGUGCAUGGGCCACACCAAGAACGACGUCGUAUCGCGCCUCCCAAUCAACACAUCCUCCUUUUCCGGCGCCGUGAAGCCGAGAACUCAAGCUACCGUUAGGGAGAUAGUCGUAGAACAAGAGUUUCAGAUUCCGAUUAGAGCACCAACCAAGAAGACGAACGAUGUUUCUGUGACGAAUCGAUCCUAGAGUUUUAAUCUCGGAGUUAAACGCACCACUCUCUUCCUUUGACCACAUUUUCUUCACCGCGAGUGACUCGCCGGAGGGAAUCGUUAUACGGUAAACCACACCGGAGCUUCCGGUUCCGAUCACGUUUGCUGACGUCAGAUUCUUAACAAUGUCGUCGAUUGAAAAAUCGAGUUUUUGGUAAAGCGUCACUUCCCACGAAUCUAUUUCUUCUCCGAGGAGUUGUUUUCCGGCGGCUCUUGCCCGGACUAGAGUGUAAACCGCCAUGAGAACAAGUACGGCAGUGACGACGACGAGAAUUAAAAUAGUCAAUCUAACGACGGAGCUGUUCCUGGUCGUCGGGUCGGGUCGGGUCGAGAUUGCGUUCGAGAUGUAAAGCCCUCUGUUUGAGGCGAGAUCAGAAAGUGGAAGUCGCCGGAAAAAGGGCGUGUUGGGUAAAUCGCCGGAGAAAUCGUUGUAGGAGAUGUUGAGAGAGACGAGGUUUUGCAAAUCCGUUAAAACGUUUAAGUUUCCGGUGAGUUGGUUGUGAGAUACGUCGAGCACUCCAAGGUUUUUCAAGUCGGAGAAUCUAGACGGGAUUUCUCCGACGAACCUAUUGCAGCUGAGAUUAAGAGAUAUCGCCAGAGACGGGAUUUGACCCAAUUCGUCAGGGAUUUCACCAGAAAAGUCAUUUUCGCCGAGAUUGAGAAGCUGUAGACUCCGACAAGUGGAGAUUUCUCUAGGGAUUUCGCCGGAUAAUCUGUUCUUGGCGAGAUUGAGCUUUGUAAGCUCUGUCAACAAUCCUAUUCCCGGAGGCAGAGUACUGGACAGAGCAUUAUCGGAGAAAUCGAUGAACUUCAAGCUCUUUGGGAGUGUAGUACCGAGCAAUGAACCGGAGAGACUAUUCGUGUGAAGAUCGAGAAACUCGAGGCUUUCACAACCAGAGAUCGCCGGAGGGAUUGACCCGACGAGACGGUUCUCACUUAUAUCAACAAAGUUGAGAUUUUUCAGAUUCCCGAUUUCCGACGGGAUACUUCCGGCGAGUCUGUUACCGUUGAGUCUUAACCGGUAAAGAUUCGUACAGUUUCCAAUAUCCGGAGGUAUGAAACCCGACAAAUCAUUGGAGAGAAGAAGAAGCUUCGUGAGGUUUCGUAACCCGAAUAUCUCUUUUGGGAUGGAGCCAGAGAGACUGUUGUAAGAGAGAUCGAUGGCUUGAAGCUCACGACACUGGGAGAGACUUUGAGGGAUGUUUCCAGUUAACUUGUUCUGCCAUGCGAAGAACAUGGUUAAGCUUCUUAGGUUACUCAUCAAUGACGGAAUCUCUCCUGUGAUGAGAUUAUUGUCGAUCUCUAAAUGCGUCAGCUUCGUGCAAUUCGUUAGCUCUUCAGGGAUUGUUCCUGAGAUCUGGUUUACACUCAGCUGAAGCUCUUGUAGAUUCUCAAGUUUUCCGAAGCUCCUUGGGAUGGUCCCGGUGAGGAGAUUCUCGGAAAAAUCGAUAAGCCAGAGCUCGGGACAGUUCCCAAGCUCGGUUGGGAUUUUCCCAACGAGAUUGUUCUGCCAUAAAAGUAGACUCUGCAGCUUCUUUAAACCUCCAAUGGUGGUAGGGAUCGAUCCUGAGAUUGAAUUCUGAUACAAGUAGAGGUUUUGGAGCUCUGUGCAGUAUCCAAUCUCAUCCGGAAUUGGACCAGACAAGAGUGACGUGUAAAUUGCUAUUGUCUGAACACGUUUCAGGUUUCCAAUCGACGCCGGAAGUUUCCCGGAGAGACUAGUCUCAGCGAGACCAAGCAUUACAAGAUUCUCGCAGUUACCUAUCUCCCAAGGAAGCUCACCUCUUAGAUUCUUGUUCCCACCAGCACGUAAGACUUGUAGAUUCUUGAGCUCUCCGAUACUCCUUGGGAUCUCUCCGGAUAGCUUGUUGUCGAAAAGCAUAAGCUCUACGAGACCCGAAAGAUUCCCAAUCUCCAUCGGAAUAUGACCUUCUAGAUUGUUAGUGUUCAGAGACAGAGUCUUGAGUUUCUUGAGCCUGAAGAUUUCCACAGGGAUAUCACCGGAGAGAGAAUUAUCCGACAAAUCGAGUAACUCAAGCUCCGUGAAGUCUCCGAUCUCCUUGGGGAUUACUCCGGUGAGAUUCAGUGAAGAUAAAGUGAGGGAAGUAAGAGACUUGAGGCUCCGGAGACUAGUCACCGGCAGAGAACCUUGCAAGUCCAUACCUUUGAGCUGUAUCUCCGAAACUUCACCUCUACGGUUACAUUUUACGCCGACCCAAUUGCAGGGAGAUGUGUCGGCGACGUGCCAGGAGGAAAAAGCGUCGCCGGAGAUGUUCAGUUGAGACUUCCAUGACAAGAGAGCUUGACCUUGUUGGUCGAGAGAGAAACAGGGGAUGAAGAAGAAACAGAGUAGGGAUGAGAAGAAGGAGAGUCUAUAGAUAUUUGGUGGCAUCGGAGAAGACGAAGAUGAGGAAGAAGAAUGAGAGAAGUGCGUUGGGAUUGUAAAGCGAAGAACCAAUCCAUCGGUUUUGGUUUUAUUUUGUUUAUAGGAAAUAUAUAAAUAAACACAGAGCAGAGAGAGAAGUAGCAAAGGAAGGUUUUU
rnacentral:lncRNA from 1 species